ensembl:snRNA U6 U6 spliceosomal RNA
GUGCUCACUUGGGCAGCAUGUAUACCAAAAAUUUGAACAAUGAAGAGAUUAGCAUGCCCCCUGUGCUAAGAAGACAUGCAAAUCUGUGAAGUGUUCCAUGUAUAA